UACGGCUAUAUUACGUUGAAACAGCGGUUCACGUAAAAUUACCAAAGUUAAGCAAUGUCGAGCCUGGUCAGUACCUCGAUGGGUGACCACUAUGGAAUACAAGGUGCUGUAA